GAUGAACGCUGGCGGCGUGCCUAAUACAUGCAAGUCGAGCGAACGGACGAGAAGCUUGCUUCUCUGAUGUUAGCGGCGGACGGGUGAGUAACACGUGGAUAACCUACCUAUAAGACUGGGAUAACUUCGGGAAACCGGAGCUAAUACCGGAUAAUAUUUUGAACCGCAUGGUUCAAUAGUGAAAGACGGUGUUGCUGUCACUUAUAGAUGGAUCCGCGCUGCAUUAGCUAGUUGGUAAGGUAACGGCUUACCAAGGCAACGAUGCAUAGCCGACCUGAGAGGGGGAUCGGCCACACUGGAACGGAGACACGGUCCAGACGCCUAAGGGAGGCAGCAGUAGGGAAUCGUCCGCAAUGGGCGAAAGCCUGACGGAGCAACGCCGCGUGAGUGAUGAAGGUCUUCGGAUCGUAAAACUCUGUUAUUAGGGAAGAACAUAUGUGUAAGUAACUGUGCACGUCUUGACGGUACCUAAUCAGAAAGCCACGGCUAACUACGUG
rnacentral:rRNA from 1 species